GAUGAACGCUGGCGGCGUGCCUAAUACAUGCAAGUCGAGCGAACAGACGAGGAGCUUGCUCCUCUGACGUUAGCGGCGGACGGGUGAGUAACACGUGGAUAACCUACCUAUAAGACUGGGAUAACUUCGGGAAACCGGAGCUAAUACCGGAUAAUAUAUUGAACCGCAUGGUUCAAUAGUGAAAGACGGUUUUGCUGUCACUUAUAGAUGGAUCCGCGCCGCAUUAGCUAGUUGGUAAGGUAACGGCUUACCAAGGCAACGAUGCGUAGCCGACCUGAGAGGGUGAUCGGCCACACUGGAACUGAGACACGGUCCAGACUCCUACGGGAGGCAGCAGUAGGGAAUCUUCCGCAAUGGGCGAAAGCCUGACGGAGCAACGCCGCGUGAGUGAUGAAGGUCUUCGGAUCGUAAAACUCUGUUAUUAGGGAAGAACAAAUGUGUAAGUAACUAUGCACGUCUUGACGGUACCUAACCAGAAAGCCACGGCUAACUACGU
rnacentral:rRNA from 1 species